UACGGAGGGUGCGAGCGUUGUCCGGAAUCACUGGGCGUAAAGGGCGCGUAGGCGGCCACUCAAGGGUGCGGUGAAAGCCCGGGGCUCAACCCCGGGUCGGCCGUGCCGACUGGGCGGCUCGAGCACCGUAGGGGCGGGUGGAAUUCCGGGAGUAGCGGUGGAAUGCGUAGAGAUCCGGAAGAACACCGGUGGCGAAGGCGGCCCGCCGGGCGGUAUGCUGACGCUGAGGCGCGACAGCGUGGGGAGCAAACAGG
rnacentral:rRNA from 1 species